GGGCCCUUAGCUUAGCCUGGAUCGAGCGCUUGCCUCCGGAGCAAGAUGUCGGUUUUCCGAUUUUCCUCCUUAGAGGUCGUGAGUUCAAAUCUCACAGGGCCCG
rnacentral:tRNA from 1 species